rnacentral:lncRNA from 1 species
UGUUAUGACUGGGGUCAUAAUUGGUUGAGUGUCUGCUGGGUGUGUGUGCUCUGUGUUUUCUCUGUGUCAAUCUUGUAUGCAAAUAGGUGUGUGCCACAGCAACGCGGUCAUUGGUGGGAUGGACUACGCCCUGUAUGGUGAUUGGCCGAGACCAGCUAUAUCAAGAACCAAGAUGGCAGCCACCAUGUGCAGAGGCCAGGCGUUCCUCAUCCUCCUCCUCUCCCAACCGGCCACCCUAUUUUGCAGCUUAAAGACUAUGGUGUAUUGUGUUCUGUUUUCCUUCAGUAGUAGGGGUGGACUGCCAGUUUUGUUAACAUUAUUUUCUCCUGUAUAUUUUAGUUAGGGAGGUAAGUCUUUGUCAUUUGUUUCCUUUGUUUUGGUUAGGUUAGCAUUACUCUACAGACAGGAUCGUUUUGGUUGUUGUUUUGGCCUUGGUCCACCCUGAAGUCUAGUCAUCCAGCCUUAGUUCCUUUGUCUAUCUUUUGUUAUUUCCUGAAUUAUGUAAAUAAAUCUGUGUUUUAAAAUUGAGCUGAAAUCUCGGUUGUUGUGGCUACUUGGGACUUGGGGAUGAUGAGGCCUUCUCAUGUUGUGCCCUAGGCACCCCUAGACUGGGGCGUAACAUGAAUUGGGGGCUCGUCCGUCUUCUUGUCGCGUUUUCUUCGGUGAGUAUGUGUUUUUCUGGUUGGUAGUUUUUUUUGUGUGUGGGGGGAAUUAUGGAUUUUUCACUGGAUGAUUUUAUGGCCAGUCCCUCUUUUGCAAAAAUUGAAAAAUGUAAAAAAGCAGACCUGUUGAUUGUGGCAAAUUUCUUUAAUGUAAAAGUACCAUACAAUGUCAACAAAGCAGAGCUCAAACAGUUGCUGUGUGCACAGUUGGUGGAGCAGGGCGUCUUACCUAAACCAGCGCUUGAUGCGGUUGCUGCGGGUGAUGUGGCUAGUGUCGCACCGGGGGCUGAGGUGAAAGCGGCGGGGGCUGCUGGCACGCUCGCUGCUGGUGCGGAACUUGGGCCGGUCACGGAUCCUCUCAUGGGUACCAUGACCACAGAGGAUCUCCGCAUAGCACUCCAAAUAAAGGAGGCAGAGACCCGAAACAAACAGCUAGAGGUACAAGCAAAGGAGGCCGAGACCCGAAACAAACAGCUAGAGGUACAAGCCUUGCAUCUACGCUUAAGGGUUCUCGAGCUGGAAAAAGGAGCCUUUGCAGCCUCUACCCCAGUGCCUCCUGUUGACCGCAGCUCUGUUUCUGCUCCCGCUUUUGACAUAAGUAAGCACAUUGCUUUAGUCCCUCCGUUUCGUGAGUCCGAGGUGGACUCGUAUUUUAGCGCUUUCGAGCGGAUAGCUGCUGCCCUGAGUUGGCCUAAAGAGUUCUGGUCCCUUCUCCUCCAGUGUAAAUUAGUGGGGAAAGCUCAAGAAGUCUGUGCCAGUCUGUCUAUCGAGGAUAGUCUUGAUUAUAAAAUCUUGAAAAAGACUGUGUUGCAGGCCUACGAGCUGGUCCCUGAAGCCUAUCGGCAAAAAUUUAGAAAUAGUGAGAAAACUUCCAACCAGACUUAUGUUGAAUUUGUGCGUGACAAGAGCGUUCUGUUUGAUAAAUGGUGCCACGCGUGUAAUAUUAAAACUAUGGCGGAAAUGAGAGAGCUCAUUUUGCUCGAGGAAUUUAAAAAGUGUUUGCCGGAGCGAAUUGUCGUAUAUUUGAAUGAGCAAAAGGAGUCAUCGGUAACGAAAGCAGCUGUGCUCGCCGAUGCGUUCAUUUUGACUCAUAAAAGCGUUUUUUCUUUGCCAACCCCUCGUGUUUUACAUCCAAUGUCUGAGCGCAGAAACCGAUCGCCAAAGCUGAUGCGUAAAAGCACCUCACCAGCUGCGGGUGAGAGCCGCGAGUGUUUUUAUUGCCACGAGCCAGGCCAUUUGAUCGCUGCAUGUCCGACUCUUAGAAAAAAAGGACAACACAAAAACGGUAAACCUCCUGCAGGUGUGGGUUUCAUUAACACCGUGUCCCCGCCUGUAACACUCCCGGAGUCUUUACCUGAAGCCGAGGUAAAUGUGGAGGUUGACCCUCGUUUCAAACCGUUCGUUUCACAAGGAUUUGUUUCUGUAACUGGCGAGGAAGCGGAUAAAGUACCGGUAACUAUUCUCCGAGAUACAGCCGCCUAUCAUUCAUUCAUUCUGGCUAGUGUUCUGCCACUCUCAAAUGAAACUUCAUGUUUCUCUGAUUUGUUAGUGUGGGGAAUUAAAAUGAGCGAACUUAACGCCCCACUUCACAUGAUUCACUUGCAUUCACCGCUCGCGUCGGGGCGUGUGAAAGUUGCCGUGCUCCCACGGUUUCCGAUUAGUGGCAUUUCGUUUAUUUUGGGUAACGAUCUGGCCGGAGGAAAUGUGUUUCCUCUGCCAGAGGUCGUUAACGAUCCCAUUUCGGUGACGUCUGCCUGCUGCCCCACCUCUGUUUCUUCUGCUGUGUCUGUGCCAAAUGUGUUUCCUGUGUACGCAGUUACGCACGCACAGGCUCGUAAAUGGGGUAAAGCUGGGGAUUUAUGUAAUUCGUUUAUGGCUACGUUAGAUGUGGGUGAGCCCUCCUUUUCAGUGUCCCCCGCUACUGAGUGUGAAAAUGUAUCAAAAUGUGUCUCUGAGCCUGAUGUGUUUCCUGCUGACGCAGACUUGAGUUUAAACGUGACCCGAGAAAUGUUGAUAAGUGCUCAGAGAAAUGAUCCGUCUCUAAAUUUGUGUCUGUCCUCUGUUGUAGCCGCCGAGGACGACAGCCAGACUUGUGUGUUUUUCGUGGACAACGGUGUCUUGAUGAGACGGUGGAGUCCCGACUCCAGGGAGAUACCCGUUGUUAAUCAGGUGGUUGUGCCAACAGACUAUCGAGCGCAAAUUUUGAGUCUGGCACAUGACUCCAGCUUAGCUGGCCACCUCGGUGUUAAAAAGACAUAUCAUCGUGUGUUGCGCAAUUUUUUUUGGCCUGGGUUAAAAUCCAUAAUGCGCAAAUACUGCCUCGAGUCCAACAGAGAGUGGGAUGAGGGCUUCGUUCUUCUGUUAUUUGCCGUGCGUGAAACUCCUCACAGAAAAUGUGAUAGCAGACGCUUUGUUGCGGUGUUCCUCAAAUCCGUAGGUAUUAAACAUUUAGGGGGAUGUUUAAUUCUUGGGUGUGGGGGUGUUAUGACUGGGGUCAUAAUUGGUUGAGUGUCUGCUGGGUGUGUGUGCUCUGUGUUUUCUCUGUGUCAAUCUUGUAUGCAAAUAGGUGUGUGCCACAGCAACGCGGUCAUUGGUGGGAUGGACUACGCCCUGUAUGGUGAUUGGCCGAGACCAGCUAUAUCAAGAACCAAGAUGGCAGCCACCAUGUGCAGAGGCCAGGCGUUCCUCAUCCUCCUCCUCUCCCAACCGGCCACCCUAUUUUGCAGCUUAAAGACUAUGGUGUAUUGUGUUCUGUUUUCCUUCAGUAGUAGGGGUGGACUGCCAGUUUUGUUAACAUUAUUUUCUCCUGUAUAUUUUAGUUAGGGAGGUAAGUCUUUGUCAUUUGUUUCCUUUGUUUUGGUUAGGUUAGCAUUACUCUACAGACAGGAUCGUUUUGGUUGUUGUUUUGGCCUUGGUCCACCCUGAAGUCUAGUCAUCCAGCCUUAGUUCCUUUGUCUAUCUUUUGUUAUUUCCUGAAUUAUGUAAAUAAAUCUGUGUUUUAAAAUUGAGCUGAAAUCUCGGUUGUUGUGGCUACUUGGGACUUGGGGAUGAUGAGGCCUUCUCAUGUUGUGCCCUAGGCACCCCUAGACUGGGGCGUAACAGGCAU